CGUAAACCUGUGGUCCCAGCUACUUGACAGGCUUGAACCCCCAGGAGUUUCAUGGUUGCAGUGAGCUAGGAUCACGCCACUGUACUCCAGCCUGGGCUGUGUCAAAAAAAGAGGCUGGGGCAGCAGAAUCGUUUGAAUUGAGAGGCAGAGGUUGCAGUGAGCUGGGUACAUACACUGUUGUGUACUCUUUUUCUUUUUCAGGUGGAGUCUUGGUUUGUUGCCCAGGCUGGAGUGUAAUGGCUCAAUCUCAGCUCACCCUGGGCAGGUGACAGAGCGAGAGUCCAUCUGAAAACAAACAAACAAAAUCCCACACACACAAAACUAACCCAAGGAUGCUUUAACCAGAGGCAAAGCUCCAACCUGGACCCACGCAGCUCACAGUAGCUCCCGCUUAGGCUACACACAGGCCUGCAAUCCACAGAUAAACACAGCUGGAGAGAAAAAGCAGCCGGGAAUGCAGCUGGGCUGUUUUCUCAAGAGAAGCCCAAGUGCCUGCCACACGCAUGGCACAGACGCACACUCCGGCAUGCUGGCAAAGCAUCAUCCUCCAAGUGCGUCCACAGAGGAGGCCAUCCUGGUGGCAAAGGGGGAGAGCCGCCC
rnacentral:lncRNA from 1 species